CUCUUCUGUCCCGGCUUCAAAAAUCAAUAGCCUACUUUACGCCAAAUUUACUGCCCAAAAGGCCAACGAGUGAGCAUUGCUUGCUGCUGCUUCAGCUGCUGCUUCUACGGGUUCUGUGUUUUCCACUCAAUUGAAUUCUUGAAGUAGUUUUAGGGGUAUAUGCUGGUAAUUCUCUUUGUCUCUCUCUCUCUCUCUUUUCAUUCUGUCUCCUCUGAUUAGCGUAAAAAAGUUUUGAGCCCAAUGACA
rnacentral:lncRNA from 1 species